UCUGACGGCAGUAACGAAUUAGCGGCGGACUUCAUUCCCUCUGGUUUUUUUUAUGCUUGAGCGCCCGCAUCAAGGUUCUGAACGGAUAGGCUCUCAAUUCAGCCCAACUCUUGCGAUGAACAAAUAAUGUAGGGCCUCCCCUGAUGAGUAACCCAUUUUCAAAAUCAGCACUUCGAAACAGCCACAACUUUCGGACGAUAAGCCCCUCCUAUAAACAGCCUAUAACCCUCAUGUACUUCAAACUUGCAAGAUCCGCCUUCAGCCUAUACUCCAGUCCGGCGUAUGCGGAAAACAUGCAGCCUUAUGAUCGUCGGCAUAUAUAAGCGGUCUGUGUAAGUAACUCCAAUACUGUAGUCACCACACACAUAUAUGCAAAUUUGCACAAGACGAAGAAGAAUACGAAAAUGGAAAGUACAACGGAGGUAGUUAAGCACCCUCAGGGCAUAUAUCUAAUAGUUUUUCUAACUAUAACUAUCAAUUCUUCCAACGGAACAUCUUCUGUGUAACAAGGCCACUGGAUGGUGCAGCUCAACGCAAGAAAGCAUUCGCAUUGCUUCCCAAAAGCGCACCUUAUAUUGCCAUAACCCCAACAUGUCCAACAUCACUCACUCUCCCAUAAAGGAGCCAUUCAUGUCAUCUACAUACCGUCCCUCAUCCUCCCAUCGCCCAUCUCGAUCAAAGAUCGGUCGAAACCCUGCAGUCGCUCAAACAAACAGCCGCUCAAAAAAGCUUUGCCAUCGUUUCGAUUUGCAUUCCAAACUCACGUCGUCUUCUACCUGCCUAAGGGUACAGGUAGAGAGAAAGGUAGCUAGUAUGGAAGCCCCAAGGAAGAGUUGAAGGAGGAAGUUGCUAGGUAGCUUGGGGAGAAGAUUAGGGACCGAGAAGAAUGGGAUGAGUUAGAAAGAAUGGAUCGAGGAGGAAAGAGAUGUUCGAGUCGAAGAAGGCAAAUGAAGGAACUAAAAGCUGGAUGAAGAGGUCGUCUGGAAAGUAAAACCACACAAAGCAUGUGUUCGUUGUUCAACAGAUAUAGAAGAGUGAUACAAGGAUCAUAGCAUGCUUGAUAUAUUUCUGUC
rnacentral:sRNA from 1 species